ensembl:lncRNA
UACGAACAGGGUGCCACACUUUGUAUUUCACAAGCUCACGAAUCUACCUUUGCAUUUGUGCAAGCUGCCAUUUGGGUUUUUUCCUUGCGGCAGUGACAUUGUCACUUCACGGUCGCCAUGUCGACGACGACGACGACGACGAGAAGGUUCACGAAACAUGUCCCCAUCCAGAUGUGUGAACCCACGCGGCGCCAAAACAAAAUCCGGAACUGCUUCUUACUUCAAACGCUCCCCAGAGCAGAAGAGUCGUGCACUUUGAUGUGCAUCGCUGAGAUUAGAGAUGCGUUUGACUCUUUGAUUGGAGGAGAUAUUUACAGCACACACACACACAGUGAGAGGGAGACGUGUCUCAUCCGCCCACAACAAAGCUCGCUUCUGAAGGGGCGGUGAGAGGAAACACAAGGGCUGUUUAGAUACCGGAUGAAGGACCGAAAGGCUCUCGAGAGGAAGAGGAGGAGGGUGACAGUCGGAAUGCAUUCAGCAUGCUGGUAAUGACGAGUGGGAAUGCGGACCGAGGAUCAUUAGAGACCGACUGGCGGUCUUCUGUCCGCUGACCGCGUCGAGUGGGGACAGCUGCAAUGACGUGAUCGCCCUCGAUUUCCCGAGCCGACCCUCCCUCAGACCCCCGGCUUUGGGGACCGGCCUGGAUGGCCGAGGGGAGGCAGUGACCUCAGAGUCAGGCUGGUUCAGCGGUUUCAGCGCCUCCUCCUCGGUUUGGUUUCAAAAACCGACUUGCCCCAAAAACUGAGGUGGUUACAUACGCAGAGACUCAAAUUAUUCCUCAGACGAGUCUCCUCAGCCUGAGACAAGACCGUUAAUAAGUACAGAUGACUGGCACUAGCCAACAGAACGCUUCUGUAGACGGCAGUGAAACAUGUGGAAGCCAAAGAAGAACAUUCAGUAUAUAUUUGCACAUAAUUUAGUAUUAAUUAUACCAGUGAAACUGCUGCUCUCCGGUUCAUCUUUGAAGGAAG